AAUGAACGCUGGCGGCGUGCCUAACACAUGCAAGUCGAACGAGAAAGCCUGGCUUGCCAGGCAAGUAAAGUGGCGCACGGGUGAGUAACGCGUGGGUAAUCUACCUUUGUCUGGGGGAUAACAUACCGAAAGGUGUGCUAAUACCGCAUAACGUGAUCGGAUUGCGAUUUGAUCACCAAAGAAGGCCUCUCCCUGGAAGCUUUCGGGUAAAGAUGAGCCCGCGUCCCAUUAGCUAGUUGGUAGGGUAAAGGCUUACCAAGGCUACGAUGGGUAGCUGGUCUGAGAGGAUGGCCAGCCACACUGGAACUGGAACACGGUCCAGACUCCUACGGGAGGCUG
rnacentral:rRNA from 1 species